AUGGUGGUUCAGGUUCGAUGGAUUAAAGGAUUGUUUCAUCUGAUGCUGCUGCUUCGGGCCGCAGCUGAAACCACACAGCUGGUCAGAGAAGGAGACAAAGCCAUGCUGACCUGCGGCAACCUCAAAGAGAAUCCGGCAAAAUGCGGAGGUACAACCUGGACUUUUACUGCUGCCGGUACCAGAACGAACCAGGAACUGGUCACACUGGGACGUGUCAAGGAAAUACGGCAGCUCAGAAUUUCACUGUCAGAGGACUGUUCUCUGCUGAUCCCGGAGGUCCGAGCUGAGGACGCCGGACUUUACGCCUGUCAGCAGUUCAGAUCAGGGGUCGAACAGCAGCCGGAUGCCCCCGUGUACCUGACCGUGGUUACCUUGACAGCGCAGGUCAAGGCGGACUAUGUCGAACUUACCUGCUGCGUGUUCACCUAUAAGACCUGCUCACACAAGGUGACGUGGUUCUUCAACGAAGUCCAAAUGAAAAAGGGGACUGGCCUGGUCCUCACGUCCCAGAAUUCCUGCAGCGCCACUGCGAACGUGAUGACCUGUCACGAGUAUUGGAAGAGGAAUACCCUCCUGACGUGUCAAGUCCAAUAUGAUCAAGUGGUUAAGACCUUUCCACUCAGGGCUCCAGGUGUUGCAUCAGCAGAAACAACAACAACUGUGUCGACCAGAACAGCCGACGACUCGGCGCCCCUCCGAGCUGUUGAAAAGAACUGCAAUGAUGGACGGAACACACACUCAGCAGUGACUCAUUCUUCCCCAGAAAUCAGCCAGGACAAGAGGGAUGCUGAAGAUCCUGUUUCUUACGCCACCAUCAUAUUCAGGUCCCCACCGAGAGCUCAGGUAAGGGUUUUCUAUUAAUUUAUAUAUUCCAGAUAUGCGUGUAUUCCAGAUCAAUGAUGCCUUCAGGACAGGAACUGAAACAACAUGGAGGUAUAUCAUGACAAAUUUAGAGGAAGUAAAGUUUUGCAACAGCUCCUGUAGUGACAUAAUGUUUCCUGACUCACAAAUACCGGU
rnacentral:lncRNA from 1 species